CCCCUAGGAACUUUUUUCUUUUUUUGCAACAUUUAAGUAGCUGAUAUUGUGCCAUUGCCUUGGAACCCACUUGAUUUUUUUUUUCCCUUUGGUUAGGUCUGAGAAAGAAAUCCCAGAUGGAAAAGUUGAAAAGUUCAAAGUAGGAGAUUAGUAUCUAGAGAAGCCCUAGUGGUUGUUUGGAAACCUAGACAUCAAAAGCCUACUGAAGGGGGCUGAUUGCUGAAAGGAAGGAAGCACUGGAAAUCCCAACUUCAUAUCAGAGCUCCUGGUUUUUGGACCUUGCAACUUUGGAACUUACACCAUCAGCUCCUCUCCUUCUCAGGCCUUCAGACCCGAACUGAAUUAUACCACCAGAUUUCCUGCCUCUUCAAGUUGCAGACUGCAGAUCAUGGGACUUCUUGGCCUCUAUAAACAUUACUCAUGUCCACUUUCUACCACUUGGAACUCAGAGAAGAUUCACUGACUCCUAAUUUUCAAUGGUCACCUUAGGCAAACUUUUUGCCUCCUUACAUUUUCAGAUGUAAAAUGAGGAGAUUGCUUAAUACUAGAGUCCCUUCCAGCUACUGGAUUUACAACUUUCCUAGGUACAGAUUCAUCUGGAAAAUUCAAAAGGAAAAAAAAGGGCUGUAUGAAAAAAAUAUGU